rnacentral:rRNA from 1 species
GGAUGCGAUCAUACCAGCACUAAAGCACCGGAUCCCAUCAGAACUCCGAAGUUAAGCGUGCUUGGGCGAGAGUAGUACUAGGAUGGCUGACCUCCUGGGAAGUCCUCGUGUUGCAUUCC